GACGAACGCUGGCGGCGUGCUUAACACAUGCAAGUCGAACGGAAAGGCCCUGCUUUUGUGGGGUGCUCGAGUGGCGAACGGGUGAGUAACACGUGAGUAACCUGCCCUUGACUUUGGGAUAACUUCAGGAAACUGGGGCUAAUACCGGAUAGGAGCUCCUGCUGCAUGGUGGGGGUUGGAAAGUUUCGGCGGUUGGGGAUGGACUCGCGGCUUAUCAGCUUGUUGGUGGGGCAGUGGCUUACCAAGGCUUUGACGGGUAGCCGGCCUGAGAGGGUGACCGGCCACAUUGGGACUGAGAUACGGCCCAGACUCCUACGGGAGGCAGCAGUGGGGAAUAUUGCACAAUGGGCGGAAGCCUGAUGCAGCAACGCCGCGUGCGGGAUGACGGCCUUCGGGUUGUAAACCGCUUUCGCCUGUGACGAAGCGUGAGUGACGGUAAUGGGUAAAGAAGCACCGGCUAACUACG
rnacentral:rRNA from 1 species